ensembl:lncRNA
AUUUUGGGUAAGGCACUAUUUCCAAGAAAGCGUUUGUGAAAAUGUUAAGAACCUAUGCUGUUCACCAUCUUUAACCUAACAGGUGCCGCUCUUUCUAGGGCGAACUUCUCGGGGUCCCCCUUUCUGUAGCUCGGAGCGGCUGUCAAUCCCAGCACUCCCGCUCUUGGCCACGGAGUAAGCAUGCGUGCAACCCCCCGGGCUACAGUGAUUGGUUCAGGGAUGGGCACAUGACAAUUUGGGCCAAUCAGAGGCCUUUCUUGGGAUUGUUCCGAGAAGAGCUUUGCGUGGCUGCGUCUUAACUCGGGAGGUAGGGAGUCUAGGGUUCUGGAGGCUGUGUUUUCGGUCACACUGAGGAAACCCACGUGCACUGGAGAGAAUAAAAGCCAUGUGGAGGUAAGAAGUCUUCAGAAACAAGCCAUGAGACAUUCGCCUCCUCCCUCCCUUUCUUCCUUCCACAAACAUUUAACCAACUGAGUAGGUGAGUAGGUGUUGGGCUAGCAGCUACUGACAGCCCAGCAGUGAAUGAAGCAUAGCCUUGUUCCCAGAGGACUUCAAAGGGAAAGAUGGACAGAGGAUACCAAUGUCAGACAACACAAAAAGAAUGAGUCAAAAAAGAGGCAGUGGAGUCCAGAAGAGAGGAGAGAAGAAACACAGGGACCUGUGAGUCAGCCAAGCUGUCCCUAAAGAAGUAGGAUCUGUUCCAAGAACAGAAGGAACUCAUGGGCAUCUGUGGUCAUGUUCACUGAUCAAGGCGGGCCUCCGGUAGCAGCUGCACUAGAUGCACUUGGCCUUGUCGAUGUCAUAGCGGGUGGUCCUGCAGGUGACGUGGGUCUCGCUGGUGAUGGCCUCGUAGGGGCAGAGCGCCAGGCAGAGCUGGCCCACGGUGCAGCGCUCCUCUCCUCUCCCCAUGGAUGGAUGCAUGGCGGCGCAGUGCAUGCUCCCCGUGGAAGCACGGACCCAGCGGGCCUUUCUCAGGUGGGUAGUUGAUGGUGGCAGUUUCCUGAAGCAGGUCACUCAGGACCCUGCCCAGGCCUCGGAUGAGCUCAGUCCAUAGCAGGGUCUGAGCCGCCGUCAGUCACCGAUUUCAUGUCCAUCGUGGGCUCCUGUGUGUUCAGGAACUUGUAGGUGGGAUGCCCUGAACACACAGCCUGGGCCAGGCAGGGCGCACAUCAGCACAGCUGGAGUCAGGCAGUGCAUCUUGAAGCCCUGUCCCUCCUUUUCUUGCCCAACAGCUGCAGGCAUUCGUGUUUUAAAUGCAGGUAACAGAGCGGGCCAACACUUCAAAAUCAUAGAGCCAGACAUGAAUCCAUCAGCUCAUGCAAAUUUAAUGAUCACCUUACUAAUAAGAAACAAAUCACAGAAAAAUGAAAAUCUGUCUGAAAGUCAGGGACAUAACUGUGCCAUGCUGUGAUAUGAGAAGUGUACUAGUUCUCUAUUGCUGUGUAACAAAUUGCCCCAAAACUUUGUGGAAAGCAGAGAAAAAGAGAAGCAAGAGGAAGAAAACCAAAUGUCUGGUCUGGUGCCCGGGGCUGAAGCCUAGGAAUCCUGAUGCCUAAAAUCAAAACAAGAAAUGGGA